rnacentral:lncRNA from 1 species
UUCAAAAACUUUUUAAAAAUCAACCAAAUGGAUUAUAAAAAUUCCAGAACGGUUUCGGUCUCAUUAGAGCGUCAUCAGCGAAACAUUCUAUUUUGUAGUUGAAAGUAGCCCUCUUUCGUGUUUAUAAAACUUAUUGUUACAUGAUUUUAAUGUAAUAAUUAAAUUUUGAAACGACACUAGGUCGCUGUUACAGGAUUAACUAUUAUUAACAUUAACAACAUGCAUAUCCCUGCUCUAAAAACGUGGGGCACUCUACACAGUCACUCUGCAUAUUUGACAACGUAUCAGCUGUGCAACAUUUACAUUUUGAUUUUUUUAGGAUUCAGAUUUAAAUGUGACUCUGUUUUACGAAGGAUUGUGUCCAUAUUGCCAUAAUUUUAUAGUGGAUCAAUUAUACCCUGGAUAUCAAAAAUUAGGAGACAGCUUUAAAUUGGAUGUAGUACCGUAUGGAUGGGAGGUGAGUUA